GGAGUCUGAGUUGCUGAGCAGUGGCAAGGAGUUCCUGCGUUUGGGUCUCCCCCUACGGGCACAUGGCCAGAGUCACAGGAGUGGGCAGCAGAGGCCCAACACCAUUCCAUCAGAUUGAAGCUCUCAGGGAGAUGUCCCCGGGGAGGCCUCACCCCUGCCCCCCUACCCGGAGAUUUCCUGGAGAAGGGACAGUGCCUGCUGGAAUUCUGAUCUGGUUCCUCCCAUAGGAACUGAACCUCUGCCCUUGCUCUGGGCCAGGAUCCAUGAGGUCACUCUGGGCAAGGGGUAGGAGGGUGGGGGAGACUCAUGACCAUUUUCUGUGCCCCGGAUCCUGCCUCAAAACAAUAUUUUCGUAUGCCUAAAAUGAAAUACAC
rnacentral:lncRNA from 1 species